ensembl:lncRNA
GGAUUUCUCAUCACGAACAGUCCCCAAGCAUGCCCGACAGUCGUGCCAACAGCGAGGUAUGAUGACCUUAUUGCCACUUCCACAUAUUGGAUGACACAUACACACUUUCAAUAAUGUCUUACCUCUGUCACAUUUGCAAUAGGCCUGAUAAGAAGAAAAUUCUUGCCGUGGCCAUGAAGGACAUCGACUAUUUCCAUGCAAGACUUUCAGGCGGUGAUUCCAUUCCCACAUUUGCAAUGACUACCUUCAGACAGUACUGCGAGGCCAUCCUGAUUUUACAGCAUGGACUGACAGCAAAUGCUGUUCAACAACUUUCUGUAGAGGAGUGGAUGGCGCGGAAAGCAGUAACUGAUGGUGCUGAGCUGAGUUCCACAGCAUUCAGUGGUAACUUGAUGAUAACCAGCCAGGAAGAACAAUUGUUGGACUGCUAUUUUAGGAACAUCCGUGCAGUGUCCUUGCAAAAUCAAGUUGCUGGCAGCGAUGACAGGGGCAAGUUCUUCCUAGGAGAAUGUGGGGUCCCACUGUCCAACCCAUCAUUAGAUGUAAAACGCCUGAGAGCGAGGUGAGUGCUGGACAUAAAUGGAUCAACAGCAUAUUAAGAAAGAUUUGUUUCUUUGAUCUGACAGAGAAAACCUUGUACUUCGGCUUUU